CAGCGUCUUCAAGCUCAGCAACGAACAGGCAACGCACGAGCACGAGCCCGGCCGUUUUCAGUUUCUUGCGUUUAUCUUUUCUUUGAUUCCCGGAGAUUUAAGGCACCAUUUGAUGAGCCGUUUUGUCCUACAAAUAGCCCUGUCAAUUCUCUCCAUUUCCCCUCAAACCUCACAGAACGAGAGCCACCAGGCUGCUCGCAAACCAUCUCGCAAUCUCGCGGAAACUGCUUCCGUUCGUCGACGACUACGGUUCGUCGGCGACCGACGCCACAGUCCGCAUGAGCAUCUCUGACGAGCGAUUCCGGCUGACUCCUUCCGCGCCGUCGUCGUCUACUUCGCCAUCAAUCUCGUCUCGUCUUCGUGCGUUGAUAGGUAUAACCCAAGCCUCCUAAAUCCUUGUAUAUCGCUGGGAACGGCUGAUGCCAACGCCGCCCGCCGUGACGCCAACGACCAUGGCGAGCCGGAGGACCGCCGGAGACGACACCCGAAUUCCGCCGAAGUGCGCCGCCUCCGUUAGCCUGUAGCGGCCACACAGGGCAGAGGAAAACACCAUCGUGCACUCGUAUCCGUGAAGCUGCUUUCCGUCGACCACCUUACCGUUGCGGAAGAUCGCCAGAGCGCCAGGAACUACCACGACCAAGCGUCGUCCCUGUAAGUCGCUCACACACGAGCCAUUAGAAAGCUUUAUAUGUGCUAAACCAGUGCGGCUCAGGUUAAUAGAAAUCUGUCACGUCACAUGCCAGCGAUCCAUCCGUUCAGACUUGUAAC